GACAGGAGCCCUAAACUUAAACCCAAACCAAAAUUCGAGUCUUCCAUUGAAUACCGAGAUGGCAAUUAUGGCCGACCACCAUCACCGACCAACCCGCAUCUCUCUUCCAUCGCGCACUAGCAGUCUAACGUGCCUCCCCACUCUCUUUCUCGAUUUUGUGCAUAAGUUCCCUCAAUCGAUGUGUUGCAAAAAGAUGUGUUCUUAUAUUAUUGGCAAUUUCAGAUGUAAGAGGGUUUGAUGGAUUGGUUGGAGGAGCAAGUGUACCGGAAGAGGAAUAAUGGGUGGGUUCAUCUAUUCAUAUGUGAGGAUCCCAAAUCUUAUACAAAGUUAUCGAUAGGGUGAGGAACGGGGUGCUCUUGGUUUCGGAUUUUGGGAGGUUGGGUCGCAAUCAGGCAUCACUUGUUAAGGAUGUGAUAUUGCCAUAUUCACAUCUCAUUAAUACCUACAAUGGGAACGUAGGGGUUGAGAAUCACAAGUCGCUAUUGUUCCUUGUGGAGAAUUCGAUAUAGAAUGGAGAGGGGUCACAUAAAUCAUUAGAAUAAGAGUAUAUCAAGUGGAGAUCUUCAAAGGAAAUGAGUCACAAACAAGCUUCAGACUGAACUCCAAACUACAACUACUUCGACGAGCAAGCUUCAUAUUUGGGCUUUGCCACGUAGGAGAGGAGCUUCGUGUGGGAUGCCAUUCCCAUGGGAUGCUACAUAGGCUUCUUGUUGUGAUGUGAUCCAAGAGUCAAGCUCAGGACGAGACCCAUUGAUUAUCGAAGGUGGACCAAUGACGUGUUUUAGGGGAAAAUGGGUAAAUCAAGCGACAAGGAUAUUAGUUCAAUCAACAAUUGAUGAGACGAUGAUCGUGGUGCAAAAUGAAGUGAGUUUCAUGUUGGGGGCAAAGGGUGAAAUCAAUUGGAGUAACUUGAUUCAAGUAGCUGAAGUCGGGAUGGAUUUUCAACACUGUGUAACGCCUCGAAAAUUUUGUAUAAAAUAAACUUAUUCGCUAUAUUUUUAUAUUUGUGGACUAAAGUGAUAUAUGAUUAAAUCCAAUUUUAAUUGGGUUAAA